rnacentral:lncRNA from 1 species
CAGGAUUUUACGUCAUGAAUCAAACUUGAUGCAGUUGCAACACUGCAUACUACACCUUACUGACUAUGGGAAGUCCCUGAGUGAUUUCACAUACCACUAAUGGUGUCUACGCCUUGUGACAUACUCCUCUUCUUAUGUGUUUCAGACCACUCCUGUCUCCCAAGCCCUUAGUGCUCUGCGAGUUGAUCAUCUCAGCCCUUGUCAUUAACACUGUCACACUGGGUGAGGAAUAUGGAUCUCCUGAC